GCGAGUCCCUGCCCCUCCCGGCCUCGGUUUCCCGGGUGUGUGCGCCGAGAAUGGGACGGAGACGAGCGACGGCGGGAACCCAUCUUUCUCUUGCGCUCUGGGGUUUCUUGAACCCGGAACCUGCGAGAGAUGAGGAAAACUGAGGCUGAAGGAUGUGACUUGCCGAGCCCCCUCACCAGGGGCUGGAACCGAAGCCUGGGCUCUUUGCUCUUCACCAUUCAGCAUUUAUGUGUCGAAUCUUGACUAAACCCUUCUGCCAAAGCCUCUGCACAGCAGAGACCCAUGACUAAGACACAGCAGCCCCUGCUGGGGAAGCAGGCUCUCCUGGUCCCUUGUUUUCGGUGAUUAGGAAGUUGAGUCCUGAUGGACAAGUAGAAGUUAACUAGGCAAUGAAUCGCUGGAGAGGGUGUCUCGGCAGAAAACAACCAGCUUGUGCAAAGGUCCAGAGGCUGGGAGAACAUGUUCCGUGUACCUAGAUCACCAGGAAUAAGGGCCUGGAAGAAGAAAGAGGCUCCGGAAAGGACUGUUUGGAAUAGAAGAACUCUGGAAGCAACUUAGAUGUCAAUGGAUGAGGAACAAGCUACAUUUUGGUACAUCCGCGAAGAGGAAUACUAUACAGCUGUCAAAACGAAUAUAUGGAUAAGGAACCAUCUUCAAACCUGGGGUGCCCACAACCCCUUCCUCAGGUUUGAUCAUUUAGUAGAAGACACAGAACUUGGGGAAGUGCUUUACUUAUGAGUUUUAUUUUAAAAGAUACAACACUGAAGCAGCCAAAUAAAAGCUGUGCCUAGGGGCAAGGGAGGGUGGGGAGGGAUGCAGAGCUUCUGUGCCUUCUCUAGGUAGCCCACCCUCCCAGCACCUGUGUCCCCCAAUCCAGAACUGCUCCAAUUUCCAGACCCGCUCUCCUCCUUGGAGGAGGUGGGGAAGCUGAAAGUUCCCACUCUUGAUUGGUCUUUCUGGGGUAAGUAGGGGCUCCACCCUGAGUCACUUCAUUAGCAUGGUGUGGCUCAAAGGGGCUCAUUGCGAAUAACAAAAUUCACUCCUAUGACGCAGAACAUUGUAAGGGUUUUAGUAACUCUGUGCAGGGAACAGGGACAAAGACCAAAUCCAUACUUUUUUUUUUUUUUUAAACCACACCACAUUUGGCUGUGUAUGCUUAUAUUCUUUCUCUGGAAGGACAUAAGCUAUUAGUUUUAUUGCUUCCAGGGAAGGGGACUGGGGGUAGGAGGUGACCCUUGGUUCAAAAUUUAAAACAUACAUGUGAAUAUAUUAUCUCUUUGAAAAACAAAUGAAAAGUACUUUGUAGCCCUUGUCUUGGCUUCUAAUGCCCGCAAUCUCCCGGCUUUCUCACUUCCAUGCUUCCUGGGAGCCACUCAGAGAGUAUGCAGGGGAAUGGUGUGCAGAUCCGCUUGUCGGACACCCCGCCCCCCCACCGUGGACUUCACCAGCUUCAGUUCCAGCCACUUCCCAAACACACCCUCCCCUCCAGACUUUCCCCAGCCAGCCAUUCCCUCUACUGGUAACACCCAGGGCUCGCAUCUGAGCUCCGUUCUUAAAAAAGUUCUAAACACAUCUAGGAUUAAUGCACUCAAACCUCACAACAGGGGCGCCUGAGUGGCUCAGUUGGUUAAGCAUCUGCCUUCAGCUGAGGUCAUGAUCCCAGGGUCCUGGGAUUGAGUUCCAUUUCGGGCUCCUUGCUCUACGGGGAAUCUGGUUCUCCCUCUCCCUCUGCUGCUCCCCCUGCUCGUACUCUCUUUGAAUAAAAUCUUUAAAAAAAAAAAAAUACCUCUUCUCAUUCAACCUCAUCGACACUGUGUAGAUUUCGUCAUUCAUAGGUGAAGUCAUAGAGGGGAAACUGAGUCGGGAUGACUGGUCAUCAUUGGAAAGGGGAAUUGUUAUUACAGAGCCUGUGCUCAUGAGUCUCCAUCACUGGUACCUAACUUGGCAGACCCCCCUCUCCUGGCAUUCCCUCCCUAACCCUACCCUGGGUCAAGGAGCCAGGCCAGGGCCUAAGCACAGUCGGAGUCCUAUAGACCCGAGUUUAUUAGAGGGGCCAGGGUCAGAGUGGGU